rnacentral:rRNA from 1 species
GACGAACGCUGGCGGUGUGCUUAACACAUGCAAGUCGAACGGUAAGGCCCUUUCGGGGGUACACGAGUGGCGAACGGGUGAGUAACACGUGAGUAACCUGCCCUCAUCUCUGGGAUAACAGUCGGAAACGGUUGCUAAUACUGGAUAUGAGCUUGCAAGGCAUCUUGUGGGUUGGAAAGAUUUUUUUUGGUUGGGGAUGGACUCGCGGCCUAUCAGCUUGUUGGUGAGGUAGUGGCUCACCAAGGCUUCGACGGGUAGCCGGCCUGAGAGGGCGACCGGCCACAUUGGGACUGAGAUACGGCCCAAACUCCUACGGGAGGCAGCAGUGGGGAAUAUUGCACAAUGGACGGAAGUCUGAUGCAGCAACGCCGCGUGCGGGAUGACGGCCUUCGGGUUGUAAACCGCUUUCAAUUGUGACGAAGCUUUUUUGUGACGGUAGCAGUAGAAGAAGCACCGGCUAACUACG